CUCCAUCGGUGAAAGCCACACCAAGCCUCGUCCCCUGAAUCCAAGCAAGAGACACUCACUCUGAAAAAUGGAGAACGCUAAAAACUGAUCGCGAAACUUCUGAUAAAUCAGUCCGUUAGGCCUGCAGAGAAGCGGGGGGAAAAGCAAAGAUGAGCCCCCGCUCUGAAAUCAUUUGUUCAUCCCCACCCCAUCUCUGUUCCAACCAGGAGAGAAAAGAAGAUUUAAAACCCAAUUCUACCUUCUUUAUCGCCAUGUCCCUGGGGCUGGACCAGACUCGCUUGCUGUCACCCCGGCCAGGAGGCAGACAGGACGUUCCUCAGAGAAGUCCCCAGCCGACUUGGGGUGUCCCUGCAACCCCGUCGUAAGCUCACGCUUUACGUCAUGGCCCAGAUGUCAGGCCAUAAGGCCCCUGCAUCUGGACCCCUCAGCCACCACCAGUGCUCAAUUCACUGGCUCCUUGGGGAGAGUGAGCAGAGGCCCUGGGGCACAGCGGGGGACACUCACCAGGUCAGCAUCACUCCAGACAGGAACGUGGACACGUAGUGGUGAGACACCCACCAGCCUUUGAUUCUUAAAAGAAGAGAAGGAAAAGGAGCUCAGGCCGGGAGAGAAACGCAAGUGUCUCCCUGCUUCCCAGCCUGUGUCUGCGGGGGGGUGCCCUGUGACCCAGAGACAGCUCCUUGGAGGAAGAAACGUACCCACGCCAGGACUUCUCUCUUUCUGUCCAACAAGAUGCACAAUCACACAGAGA